rnacentral:rRNA from 1 species
CGAGCGGUAACAGAUCUAGCUUGCUGGAUGCUGACGAGCGGCGGACGGGUGAGUAAUGCAUAGGAAUCUGCCCGAUAGUGGGGGAUAACCUGGGGAAACCCAGGCUAAUACCGCAUACGUCCUACGGGAGAAAGGGGGCUCCGGCUCCCGCUAUGGGAUGAGCCUAUGUCGGAUUAGCUAGUUGGUGAGGUAACGGCUCACCAAGGCCACGAUCCGUAGCUGGUCUGAGAGGAUGAUCAGCCACAUCGGGACUGAGACACGGCCCGAACUCCUACGGGAGGCAGCAGUGGGGAAUAUUGGACAAUGGGGGAAACCCUGAUCCAGCCAUGCCGCGUGUGUGAAGAAGGCCCUCGGGUUGUAAAGCACUUUCAGCGAGGAAGAACGCCUAACGGUUAAUACCCGCUAGGAAAGACAUCACUCGCAGAAGAGGCACCGGCUAACUCCGUGCCAGCAGCCGCGGUAAUACGGAGGGUGCAAGCGUUAAUCGGAAUUACUGGGCGUAAAGCGCGCGUAGGUGGCUUGAUAAGCCGGUUGUGAAAGCCCCGGGCUCAACCUGGGAACGGCAUCCGGAACUGUCAAGCUAGAGUGCAGGAGAGGAAGGUAGAAUUCCCGGUGUAGCGGUGAAAUGCGUAGAGAUCGGGAGGAAUACCAGUGGCGAAGGCGGCCUUCUGGACUGACACUGACACUGAGGUGCGAAAGCGUGGGUAGCAAACAGGAUUAGAUACCCUGGUAGUCCACGCCGUAAACGAUGUCGAC